GACAUUACCAGGAUAAUUUCCUCUGGCGUAGGGGCUGCAACACGAACCAUUAACGUACGAGAUCGAAUAGGCUCAAUAAUUUUCGACGUAGAAUUGGCAAUUAAGAUCAGACGAAUGUUAUUGGAAUAUUUUUCCAUGGUACGACGAAGAGCCGCUUGAGCGUCUCUAGUUAAUUCGUCAGCCACAUUGAUUACAACGACUAAGGAGCAUGUUAGUACGAGCGCAGAUAAAAAUAAGGAAAAGAAUUGAAAGUUCACCAACCAGAAUAUAACAUGAGACACCUAGGAACAAAAAAGAGCACAAAAAUUCCAUAUUGAUUUCACUUUACAGUGAAGACAUACCUUUAAAUAUCUUUUUAGCUUGUAAGUCAACUUGUGCAGAUUGAGCCACAUCUUUUAAAAGCUCCUGCAUAAUGACUCGGUCGUAAUUUCCGACAUCGCUGGGCGUAAUUUCCAAAUGAUGAAGACUUGAUACAAUAUUGAUCUGUAAUUUUUUACUACUAGGAGUCAAGAAAGUUCUUUGAUCGAUUUUCAACUACAUUCAUUGUGAGCAUGUAUAUUUAAUUAAAUGAAAGUCAGACUAUGAAGAAACAUACCUUCUCUGAGCCAGGUCCAUACAAUUCUCGUAAUAUAGCAACCACCCGAGUUUUUUUUCCUGCUCCGCUGGGCCCAUACACUAACAAAUGGGGAAACUCAUUAGUAGACGACAAGGAAAUAAGACGUUCUGAGAGUUGUUUGUGAUAGUCCAAAGAUGCAAGCGUCUUUGGACGGUAUUGAUCUAACCAAAGCAUUUAUUCCAAGAUUUAAAGGUUGGAACUCGGUUUUUGGUAAAACCCUUCAGUAACGCAAAGGACAAGUGGAUGUACUUAAUGGAGAAAUACAACGUGCAUGUCAGUGUAUUACACCAAAUUGUUAGAUGAUAAAACUUUUAACUUCUAAACAAACCGAACUGUUUUUCCCAUUAAAAUAAGCUCUUCAAGAUACCUUCCGUUCUCGCUAGUUUACACAUAUUAUGGAAGUUACUGAACAUUGUAUUUGAGUGGGAAGUAUUUUACAACACUUGGUAAUUUUAUUGUUUAUUCAAUUCUAUUUCGUAGAGCGCUCUAACUUCAUUAUCGAUAAACAUUUGAAGCUGUUACAUAGUUCAAACUUCUUCUCGUAUACUUACUGACCAAACUAUGUUUUUCCACCUUGCUUUAUUCCUAUAAAAAAAAUAACUGUUUAAGAAAUUAUUUAAAUCCCAUUCAUUGAUAAGGCAACUUGACACGCUAACGUUGUAAACUUUCAAUUAAAUGAAUCAGCUGCAAAACUCAGUUUCCUUUGACGAGCACUUAUUCUAUAGAAAAUGAUAUAUUACAAUUCUUCUUAUAUUCAAGUACAUGUGAGCGAUUAGUCCGUUUACAACCUUUUUUUAUCGA